UUUUUCUCUAAAUUGUUUUCAGUUCCUCUGCUCUUCAGAUGCCUCAUCAUGCCUCAGUCACAUGACGUUCUCCUUCCAUGAGCUGUAUGAUCACCUGAACUUCUGAGUGUUUGCUGCACAUAGAGAGACUGUAUCAACACUGGAAAAGCAUCAGUACUGCGGUGGUAAAUGUGUCACUUAUCGUCCCUGAUUUGAAUCCUGGCUGAUUUUCUGCAGAAACACACUGAUGUAGAGCAGGUCGUGUUUCCUGUCCGUGUGCGGGACGUAACGGUCAGUGUGUUUUAUUUUCGACUGUGGAACCACGAUGGUUGGUGCUGGUGCUGGUGCUGGUGCUGAUGUGCGACGGGCCGCUCGAGGAGGUCAUGUGACCGUGUGUUUGUGAUGAAGCGUGGAGGAGCAGGAGGAGAACAGAGUGAGUUUUACACAGACGGAGAGACGAGCUGCUGAGAGUCAUCACACUUCAACCAUGAACAACAGAGAAGAGACAGAGAGAGAGCUACCACCCACCGAAUACCACACACACACUCUCUCACACACACACACUCUCACUCACACACACACACACACACACACACACACUCACACACACACACACACACUCUCUCUCACACACACACACACACACACUCUCUCACUCACACACACACACACAGCAGUUUUGCAGAGUGAGAACAGAUGGAGAAAACAAAAUACUCGAGUCUCUUUAGCACCUCUGUGUUUGAGCUCUGAACUCCAGCGACCUCCAUCAUGUUGCUAAUGCUAACACUGAUGCUCACACUGCUGCUAAUGCUAACACUGAGUGUGUUUACAUGGGGGGAAAAAUCAUCUGAUAAGUGGAAGAAAUGUAAUUUUGGUGAUGAUUUAUUCUGUGUGUUUGGGACUCUUCACUCUCUGCUCCGUCUGCAUUCAGAUCUGCUGCUUUAUUAUUUUAUUGAUGAGAUAUUCGUAAGGGAAGUGUGUUGUUAUAUCGGCCAAUCAGGGACGUACUGUUCUAACUCACAUCUCUGAGGUUACAUGUUCCAGGAUAGACAUGUUCCAGUAGGGCAUCUUGAAAAGCAUGCCAGUCUAUACCCACUGCACCUACUGUCAUGUUCUCAGGAGCUGGUGGGUGUUGGUACCUAUUAGAAGUCCAUACAGACCCGGUGAGGACAACGUGGACAUUUCACAGCCAGUGUCGGCAGAUCAGGAUGGAGUUUGGGAUGCUGGGGGUGUGAAACCAGCACCACCUGCUGCACCACUGCAGUAAAUGUACUACCAUAGUACUGUGUACACUGUGGCCAAAAGUAUGUGGACACCUCACCAUGAGCUUGUUGAAGCGAAGCACCAGAGCCAAGAGCUCCCACUAGGUAACAUUAAAUAAGGUGAUCACAUGGUGUUUGUGUAGGUCAGUGGUAAAAUCUGAGAGAGAUAAACUUUUACAUUUUACUACACAAACAUUCAUUCAUUCAUGUUCACUAACCACUUUAUUUAAUUUAGGGUUGAAGUGAACAACCCUCACAAAUAUUGUUCCUCCAGACUCGGUGGGUACAGUCUGCAGGGGGAUGAGUGUUACGCAACUCUAAAUCUAAUUAAUCUGUAUUUAGUUUAUAUAUUUAAUUAAUUCAUACAUUCUCGAGGACCACCACAGGGGAUGGAGUUUCCUAUUGAGAAUAUUUGAUGUAUAAACUGAUGAAACUGCAGGUUUAGUAAUAAUUCAUAAAUGUUUCGUUUAUUACAAUUUGACCACAGUGGUAAAUUUUUCGAACACAAGUAAUAUUUCUAGGUCUGAUUUUGCUCUAUCAGAUUUAAUAGAUUAAUAGGGAUUAUUAUUAAGUACU